UUACCAAAUAUUACAGAGCUAGUAAGCCAAGACUUGAACACUGAGAUGGAAUUCUACCUUUUAAGGUGGCUAAGCAACAGAAGGAUGUUCCUUUCCCAAGGGGGUAAGAAGCAGUGGCCAUGUUCAGCACAAUUGUCCUAUCACAGGUUCAUGGCAGGGACCGAGCAGUGAGGAUGGGCACUGCCCUGUGUCCUAGCAGAGGGCUGCCUUCUGGCUCCCCAGCCUUGGCCAGCAGCCCUUCUAUCUUCAUGCCAUGACCUAUUUUUGUUCACCCAGUUAGUGUAUGGCCUAUUUCUUUCCUUAAGAAUUACUUCAUAACUUUCACAGAGUAAUAGCACAUGCUGAGCACAGCAUUCAUGAACUUGGACACACGCACACAAAAUGUCCCUUUAAAUUCACAGAGCAGUAUCUGAGAUCCAGGUAGAAAGACCAAAAGGAAAAUUAAGAACAGACUCUCAGACCUGCCUUCCCUUUGCAUUCAGAGCACUGCGUGUUUUGAAAUAUACAAAUAGUGGGAAACGAAAUCUUUGUUCUGGAUGCAGUUAUAAUUUGGAAAGCGAGGAAAUAAAUUAUAACAAGGGGAAAAAACAGGGUUGCCGUGAGGAGUAAAUGAGCUGUUGCAUGGGAAGCACUUAGCAUGGGGCCUGAUAAAUAGUAAGCCCUUGGUAAUAAUUACAUCUUCCGUGAUGCUAGACACAGAGGGAUUGAAAUGCAUAACAAUAGAGAUGAAACACGAAGAGUGAUAAAUGAAGAUUGAGUGUGCACACCUUCUGGAGGAGCCCUGAUUGAGUAUUUUAACACAGAAGUGGGUGAGAGCAAAGUUGUGUCAGAGUAAGACAAUGACACCAAGCCAGAUGGUUAUCAAAAUCCACAGGAACAAAUGAAGAGAACCAGAAAUUGCAAAUAAGAAGGACAGAGUACCAGAGAGGAGAGAGAGGUACAGAGAAUUAUGGAGGUGGCUUCCGUUGAGUAUGCAGCUAAGUAAUGAUUAAUGCAUACAUAUAAGAAACUACUGGAUGACAGAGAAAGAACCACAAGCAAUUUAAAGAAUACUACUAAAGUCAUGCCGUGUGACUUCUGAAGCUAGCUCCUAAGAAGUCCUUGCAGCUUCUGCCUGCGACUCUUAGAACACUUGCUUUGAAGGAUGCCAGAUGCUGUCUUAAAAGUCUGAGCACUCUGAAACCAUCAUGCUGUGAGGAAGCCCAAGCUAACCACAUGGGCAAAAAAGAUGCCCUCUGACUGCCACCAUUUGAGACACUCUAAUUAAGAACUGCCUCAUUGAGCCCAUGAGGCCCUGUGAAUGAUAAUAAUAAAUUGUUUUUAACCACUAUGUUUUUGGAUUUGUUAUAAGUUUAUAGAUAACAAGAAAAAGUUAUAUUAGCAUGGUAAUAAAAUUAUGGAUAUGUGUAA
rnacentral:lncRNA from 1 species